rnacentral:rRNA from 1 species
ACCCGAUGCAAACUGCGAAUACCGGAGAAUGUUAUCACGGGAGACACACGGCGGGUGCUAACGUCCGUCGUGAAGAGGGAAACAACCCAGACCGCCAGCUAAGGUCCCAAAGUCAUGGUUAAGUGGGAAACGAUGUGGGAAGGCCCAGACAGCCAGGAUGUUGGCUUAGAAGCAGCCAUCAUUUAAAGAAAGCGUAAUAGCUCACUGGUCGAGUCGGCCUGCGCGGAAGAUGUAACGGGGCUAAACCAUGCACCGAAGCUGCGGCAGCGACGCUGAUGCGUUGUUGGGUAGGGGAGCGUUCUGUAAGCCUGCGAAGGUGUGCUGUGAGGCAUGCUGGAGGUAUCAGAAGUGCGAAUGCUGACAUAAGUAACGAUAAAGCGGGUGAAAAGCCCGCUCGCCGGAAGACCAAGGGUUCCUGUCCAACGUUAAUCGGGGCAGGGUGAGUCGACCCCUAAGGCGAGGCCGAAAGGCGUAGUCGAUGGGAAACAGGUUAAUAUUCCUGUACUUGGUGUUACUGCGAAGGGGGGACGGAGAAGGCUAUGUUGGCCGGGCGACGGUUGUCCCGGUUUAAGCGUGUAGGCUGGUUUUCCAGGCAAAUCCGGAAAAUCAAGGCUGAGGCGUGAUGACGAGGCACUACGGUGCUGAAGCAACAAAUGCCCUGCUUCCAGGAAAAGCCUCUAAGCAUCAGGUAACAUCAAAUCGUACCCCAAACCGACACAGGUGGUCAGGUAGAGAAUACCAAGGCGCUUGAGAGAACUCGGGUGAAGGAACUAGGCAAAAUGGUGCCGUAACUUCGGGAGAAGG